AAGUCGUAACAAGGUUUCCGUAGGUGAACCUGCGGAAGGAUCAUUAUAAAAUUUUUCUUGCAUAUUUUUUUAAAAUGUGUAAAAAAAAAUCUUGUAUUCAAAACCCACACUCUUUAAAACCAUAAUAAAAAAAUUUUUAUAUGUUUAUAUACAUGAAAUUUUUUUAUUUAAAAAUAAUAUAUAUAAUAAAAAGACAACUUUCAACAACGGAUCUCUUGGCUCUC
rnacentral:misc_RNA from 1 species